GACGAACGCUGGCGGCGUGCUUAACACAUGCAAGUCGAACGGAAAGGCCCUGCUUUUGUGGGGUGCUCGAGUGGCGAACGGGUGAGUAACACGUGAGUAACCUGCCCUUGACUUUGGGAUAACUUCAGGAAACUGGGGCUAAUACCGGAUAGGAGCUCCUGCUGCAUGGUGGGGGUUGGAAAGUUUCGGCGGUUGGGGAUGGACUCGCGGCUUAUCAGCUUGUUGGUGGGGUAGUGGCUUACCAAGGCUUUGACGGGUAGCCGGCCUGAGAGGGUGACCGGCCACAUUGGGCCUGAGAUGCGGCCCGGACUCCUACGGGAGGCAGCAGUGGGGAAUAGUGCACAAUGGGCGGAAGCCUGAUGCAGCAACGCCGCGUGCGGGAUGACGGCCUUCGGGUUGUAAACCGCUUUCGCCUGUGACGAAGCGUGAGUGACGGUAAUGGGUAAAGAAGCACCGGCUAACUACGUG
rnacentral:rRNA from 1 species